CCUACGGGGGGCUGCAGUGGGGAAUAUUGGACAAUGGGGGCAACCCUGAUCCAGCCAUGCCGCGUGUGUGAAGAAGGCCCUCGGGUUGUAAAGCACUUUCAGUGAGGAAGAACGCCUGGUGGUUAAUACCCAUCAGGAAAGACAUCACUCACAGAAGAAGCACCGGCUAACUCCGUGCCAGCAGCCGCGGUAAUACGGAGGGUGCGAGCGUUAAUCGGAAUUACUGGGCGUAAAGCGCGCGUAGGUGGCUUGAUAAGCCGGUUGUGAAAGCCCCGGGCUCAACCUGGGAACGGCAUCCGGAACUGUCAAGCUCGAGUGCAGGAGAGGAAGGUAGAAUUCCCGGUGUAGCGGUGAAAUGCGUAGAGAUCGGGAGGAAUACCAGUGGCGAAGGCGGCCUUCUGGACUGACACUGACACUGAGGUGCGAAAGCGUGGGUAGCAAACAGGAUUAGAUACCCUAGUAGUC
rnacentral:rRNA from 1 species